rnacentral:rRNA from 1 species
AUGAACGCUAGCUACAGGCUUAACACAUGCAAGUCGAGGGGGCAGCAUUAUCGAAGCUUGCUUUGAUAGAUGGCGACCGGCGCACGGGUGAGUAACGCGUAUCCAACCUUCCCCAUAGUCAGGAAUAGCCCGGCGAAAGUCGAAUUAAUGCCUGAUGUUUUCCACGGACGGCAUCUGAUGUGGAACAAAGAUUCAUCGCUAUGGGAUGGGGAUGCGUCUGAUUAGCUUGUUGGUGAGGUAACGGCUCACCAAGGCGACGAUCAGUAGGGGUUCUGAGAGGAAGGUCCCCCACAUUGGAACUGAGACACGGUCCAAACUCCUACGGGAGGCAGCAGUGAGGAAUAUUGGUCAAUGGGCGAGAGCCUGAACCAGCCAAGUAGCGUGCAGGAAGACGGCCCUAUGGGUUGUAAACUGCUUUUAUAGGGGAAUAAAGUGAGCCACGUGUGGUUUUUUGCAUGUACCCUAUGAAUAAGGACCGGCUAAUUCCGUG